GCCGAAAAUUCACAAGGCCAGGCUCCAUGUUAAGUGUAUUACGCUGACCUCCAGAAUUUUGCAUUAUAUUCUGCUGAUGUGGCACGGCAGACAUUGAAGUCCCAGAUUGAUUCGGUACCUGCCCAGAAAACUGUCCGGACAUGUGUGUAGGUAAAUUCAUCUUGUCGUGUCAACUAGUAGAUAUGAUGCUCGUUACACAAAAACACCAUUCGAAUCAGCACCAAAUAUUGGAUUGUGAUGCCUAUCCUUAAGUCAAGCUGCUUCAGCAAUACUGGAUGAAGAAUCGGAGACGCAUCAAGAAACCCCACACGAGUUCGCAUAGACAAA
rnacentral:lncRNA from 1 species